rnacentral:lncRNA from 1 species
AGUACCACUAUUUGUCUACUAUAUGCUUCAUAAAAGUGUUUUAUUUGUUUAUAAAAUGUACAUGAUUGCAGUCCUUUGAUAACCUGAUACAACAUGUAAGUACCAUCGACCACUGACAUGAAAAGGAAAGUAAAAUACUGCUGUUACUUUGAAAAUGACCUCAGGCUCAACUCACACGUCAUUAGUUGAGCUCAUUGAGACUGAAUUUCCUAACUGACCAAUUACAUUAUCUCCACACUUCUGCUUCUAUUCUUUCAACAUGGACUGUUUACAUGUGGUUGAGGCUUUUCAAAUAAGCUAGCAUGUGAAAAGUAGCAGCACCAGUACAGUAGAAAAGGCCAUCUAGUUACUGAACUGGCCGUGCAUGUACAAAGCACAUAAACACUGAAUGUUCAACACCACAGAAGCCCCAAACAUUUUCUCUUCUUCUACCUCCAAUGCGCCCUGAUCGAUCGCUUUGUCAAAAUAGAUACUACACGCAAGAACUACUGCCACAACCCAAUCCAUCCAUGAGACCCACUAAACACCAUGUGUGGUUUGAAAAAAAAUCCAUUUAUCAGUAGAUUUAGUUUUGAGCAAGCAAGGUUACUAUUUCUAACCCCUCUGUAUAAGAAAAUUGAACGGAGGCUUAUAUCAGGGUAACCUAAUUUUAAAAAAAGGUGUUGUAUGUGCUAGAUUUCUGAUGAUUUAGGUCUUGGAAGACCUGAACAGGCAAGCAUAGUAUUGCAAGUAAGAAAACGUGAAACAUUGCUAAUAACGUGCCUCAUCUACUAGUAAGGGCUUUAUUUUAUACCAAAGUUUUAAGCAGCUACAAUUUACAAUUCAAACCUAUGACUGCACUCAAAGCUGAAGUGGCAUUUUUCAUCUGGUUCAGCAUCCCAAUCGAAAGCACACAAUAAUUUCCUGCAAUGGUGAGGCAGCUGAAUCAAUAACACGCAGACCACAUCGAGAGUUGAAACUCCACACUACAGGAAAACCAGAGCGAUACAGAUGGCUGAAGACAAUAUUUUAUCCGAACAAUAUUCAUUGCAUCCACGCUUACCUCCCUCUUCCCCUGUAGCUCCAGCCCAUAGCAUUCCACAGUUUAAAACAGAGCAGAUAAAGGGUGAGACAAUACCUCAACAACAAUUGCUCAACGAGUUAAGUGUCAUUUAGUUAUUCUUAUAUAAAAUUACACUCCAAAGUAUCUAGGCUUCAUUGCUCUUAACUGAGUACUCGUGUUCACUGACAUCUUCUAUUGCUAAAUUGCUGAUGCGUCAUCACUCGUCGGUUUCACAGUUCAGAGGAAGAAAUGCAAUUGAUUAUUUUUAAGUGGUUGGCUGACAUAUUGACCUAGCAUAGAUCAAGCAAUUCCAUGACAAUCUUAGUAUCAAGACUAACUUGUGCAUUGAUGUCAGUAGCACUCUGUUUUAGAAGGGAAAUGCUUUCGUCUAGUGAAGCUUGUUGUCCAGCCUGAUACAUAGCAGAGCCAUAGUUUUAGUUAGCCUCCAGCACAACAUAGGAGAAACAAAUCAAGUCAUUCAAUCAAAAGGACCUUGAAGCCCUCCUCUUUGGGGCUUCGGGAUGCUGAGCACUCGCGGGAGACAUGGAUCGUGCCAUCACAAUGCCCUUGGCACAAAAGAUUUUAGCACCUGGGACAUAUAAAGAAAAAUCAGAACAAAGGUGAAUCUAUUCUGAUAGACUUCAAGAGUGAAGGGGGGAGAAGGAUUGAGAGAAACUUGCCUUGCCAUCAGCCAUCCCUAGAUGGGAAUGCCACUUCAAGCUCCUCCCAUGCACACCAUCUUUACUUUGUAUUAGAAGUUUAGAACAAAUCACACAGUUCAAUCCUUUUGUCAAUGAAAACUGAGGAAGAACUCAAUAACUAUCCUACUCUGCACUGAUCAUUGCAUGGUAUUAAUAUUUCUAUUUCACAGAAUUAAAUUUCAGCAACCAUGCAAGCUCUGAACAUUGUUCUUGAUUAAAAGGGCAAAAGGAUAAACAAAUGAAUAAGUCUCACCAUCAGUACUCAGUUUGCACCCAAUUUUUUAUCCGAACAAUAUUCUUUGCAUCCAACUCCGCCUAUGUCUUCUAGGCAUAGCCGGUCCCAAGCCCGGGUAAAGGAGGAGGGUUGUGAUAGGCUUGGCGAGCCAACGUAAAAACUAGCCAGUCCCAUAGGUAUGGAACCGAUUUGAGCGAGAGUAGUACUAGGAUGGGUGGCCUCCUGGGAAGUCCUCGUGAAAGGGUUUCAUAUCUAAGGGUUGUGAUAGGCUUGGCGAGCCAACGUAAAAACUAGCCAGUCUUUUGGGUAUGAAACCCAUUUGGGCGAGAGUAGUACUAGGAUGGGUGACCUCCUGGGAAGUCCUCGUGAAAGGGUUUCAUAUCUAGCCUACCCCAACUUGUUUGGGAUCAAAGGCUUCGUAAGUAAGUAAUAUUCUUUGCAUGCACGCUUACCUCCCUCCUCCCCUGUAGCUCCAACCCAUAGCAUUACACAGUUUAAAAGAGAGCAGAUAAAGGGUGAGACAAUACCUCAACAACAAUUGCUUAAUUACUUGAGUGUCAUUUAUUUAUUCUUAUAUAAAAUUACACUCUAAAGUAUCUAGCGUUUCAUUGCUUUUGACUGGGCACUCGUGUUCACUGACAUCUUCUAUUGCUAAAUUGCUGAUGCGUCAUCACUCAUCAGGUUUCACAUUUCAGAGGAAGAAAUGCAAUUGAUUAUUUUUAAGUGGUUGGCUAACAUGUUGACCUAGCAUAGAUCAAGCAAUUCCAUGACCAUCUUAGUAUCAAGACUAACUUGUGCAUUCAUGUCAGCAACACUCUGUUUUAGAAGGGAAAUGCUUUCAUCCAGUGAAGCUUGCUGUCCAACCUGAUACAUAGCAGAGCCAUAGUUUUAGUUAAUCCUCUAGCACAACAUAGGAGAAACAAAUCAAGUCAUUCAAUCAAAAGUACCUUGGAGCCCUCCUCUUUGGGGCUAUGGGAUGUCUAGCACUUGCAUGAGAUAUGCAUCGCGCCAUCACAAUGCCCUUGGCACAUAAGAUUUUAGCACCUGGGAUAGAAACACAUGGUGCCCGCACGCCUCGGUUUGUACAUGAAAACAUAUGAAACAUUAAAAAGCAGAGAAGCAAGAUCUGUAGUGUUCCCAUCAACCAUUGAAAGAUUCAAUUAGGAAUGAAUUAGUUACUUUUACACACAGUAAAGAAUGAAAGCUUAAAAGCCAUCAAAACAUAUUCAGUCAAAUCAGCAGCAAUCUGAAAUUAUAACUACCAUGAUAUUUUUAGAAACCAAUCUUGCAAACAAAGUAGGAUAAUUACCACAAUCUUCUUGGAAUUCAUGGUCCCACCUAGCUAGUCUCAACAAACGCCAGAAGUUGGUGAUCCCAUAAAUGUAUUAAGUGAUUGUCUUAAAGUUUGGACCAGACUCACACAAUUAUCCCUGCAAAAAUUGGACAGACCAAAAUUACUAAUACUUUGUACUUGCACAAAACAGAAAGGUAUAUAGUCAGAAAGUAGUCAAGUAAAAAACCCUCUCCAUCCCAACCACUUCAUUGAAAUAUUAAAAUGAGACAGAUUCCCUAGCCAAAUUUAUAACAGUAAUACAUAGUUCAAAGAUUGAAUGAUAUCCCUAAUAGUAAACUGAACUAUAGAAGGUGCUACAGCUUGCCAUCUUUGCUGUAACUACACGAUGAUAUUCCUAAGAAACUAUAAUCUGCGUUGGUACUUUCUCAGGUUUAGGAUAUCCAUUCCUUACAUGGCAAUGCAACCCAACAUGAUAUCCUUUAUGCUUAUGGUUAAUACGAAAGAUCUAGUAAAAUAAAGUAUCAACAGAAAUAGGGUCAGUACUAAAUUGUUAAUCUACUUAUCUGCAAUCCAUCUUCAGAGAUCACUCUACAUGAUGGUCAUAACCUCUAUAUAUUAAUUCCUCUAUACUUACAUUUUGUAAGAUGAUCUGUGAAAGUAUUAUAUGUACUCGUUAGAAAAAUACUCAUGAAAGUACACUGUUCCAAAAAUGGAACAAUAAAUUUGACACAAACUUGAUGACAGUCUGAAGCUAAACUCCGACUGUGAGGCCAUAUAUGCAUUUUGUUAUGGAAUGGUCUGAAUCAUAAAUUCGCUGCCAGGAAAGAAAC